CCCUUAUCCUGUGUUGCCAGCGUGUGAUGGCGGGAACUCAAAGGAGACUGCCGGUGAUAAACCGGAGGAAGGUGGGGAUGACGUCAAGUCAUCAUGGCCCUUACGAGUAGGGCUACACACGUGCUACAAUGGCGCAUACAAAGAGAAGCGACCUCGCGAGAGCAAGCGGACCUCACAAAGUGCGUCGUAGUCCGGAUCGGAGUCUGCAACUCGACUCCGUGAAGUCGGAUAAGAGUUUGAUCUUGGCUCAGAAUGCCACGGUGAAUACGUUCCCGGGCCUUGUACACACCGCCCGUCACACCAUGGGAGUGGGUUGCAAAAGAAGUA
rnacentral:rRNA from 1 species